GCACCAUCUGCCAUUUGUAAUUUACUAUUCUUAUCUUGUUUUUGAAAUUAUGUCUUAACAUUUCCCAAUUUUAAUAUUUCAUUGCAAAGACCACAGAUCACAGGUUUAUUGUGUUUAAUUAUGUUUUCAACAGAGCACAUUAUAUAGACCAAUAAAAUCAAGAAUACCACAGGAUGACAUUGAAACAUAUAUAUUUACUUUCUAUACGAGUAUCAUAGGCAACAAUAUUGACACCUUUGAAGCAAUGGUACUGACUCCAAGUCAAUUUUGUAUAAAAGAACGUAGCUCUUAUGAAUUCAUUUGGAAAGUGUGAGAAUACAUAGUAUAAAAAAAAGCUCCAAAAUUUGAUAUCAAAUCAAUUUUAACGCAUGAUUUAACACAUGAUAUAGAAAAAAACACUAUAAUUUUAAAUCCAACGCAUUCCGCAUGACUUUCAAAAUAAAAAAAUUGAAAAAUUUGA